rnacentral:rRNA from 1 species
AAUGAACGUUGGCGGCAUGGAUUAGGCAUGCAAGUCGAGCGAGAAGGGUUUUGAAGCUUGCUUUAGAACCCGGAAAGCGGCGCAAGGGAGAGUAACGAGUAGUUAUCUACCCCAAGGCCCGGAAUAGCUGCGGGAAACUGCAGGUAAUGCCGGAUAAUAUCCCCGGAUCAAAGGUGUGAUUCCGCCUUGGGAGGAGACUGCUUUGUACUAGCUAGUUGGUGAGGUGACGGCUCACCAAGGCAAAGAUGGGUACGGGGUAUGAGAGUAUGCCCCCGCUCACUGGGACUGAGACACUGCCCAGACACCUACGGGUGGCUGCGGUCGAGGAUCUUCGGCAAUGGGCGCAAGCCUGACCGAGCGACGCCGCGUGUGGGAUGAAGGCCCUCGGGUUGUAAACCACUGUCAGAGGGGAUGAAAUGCCAUGGGGUUCUCUUCAUGGUUUGACAUAUCCUCAGAGGAAGGACGGGCUAAGUUCGUGCCAGCAGCCGCCGUAACAC